rnacentral:rRNA from 1 species
UACGUAGGGUGCGAGCGUUAAUCGGAAUUACUGGGCGUAAAGCGUGCGCAGGCGGCUUCGCAAGUCAGACGUGAAAUCCCCGGGCUUAACCUGGGAAUGGCGUUUGAAACUACGGAGCUGGAGUGUGGCAGAGGGAGGUAGAAUUCCACGUGUAGCGGUGAAAUGCGUAGAUAUGUGGAGGAAUACCGAUGGCGAAGGCAGCCUCCUGGGCCAACACUGACGCUCAUGCACGAAAGCAUGGGGAGCGAACAGG